rnacentral:antisense_RNA from 1 species
CUUGAUCGUGCCCAGCAGCAGCGGCUGCUCACGAUCCCGGCCGUAGGUCGCCAGCAGCGCCUGCGCCUC